rnacentral:misc_RNA from 1 species
CCGAGUUUACAAACUCCCAACCCUUCUGUGAACCUUACCCGUCGUUGCUUCGGCGGGACGCCCCGGAGCCCCGUGCCCGGACCCAGGCGCCCGCCGGAGACCCCAAACUCCACUGUAUCUUCAGCGUAUUCUCCUCUGAGUGGCAAACGCACAAUCAAUCA